rnacentral:lncRNA from 1 species
GGCACUAGGCGAAUCAGAUUGCUCAAGAGAAUCCAUAACAACUAUAUUGCGAUAAUAUUUAUUACAUUUGUCAUCCCAUACUAACAAACAAUACAAUCACGUAAGUUAUCACAGAUUUCUUGUCCUCUCGAACAAUUCAAAUCCGACAACCUAGAUUUUAGAUGAGUUUCUAGACUUCCUAGCUUGAUUUGAUGUAAACUUCGGCUAAACCUGCAACAUACGUUAAAACUUUGUCAAUACAAAAGUAUUGGCGAGUAUACAGGUUUGAUAUGUGAUAGUGUGAUAGAUUAAAAGUGCUGCGAAUUUCCACAUGCAUAAACGUAAUACACAACAUAUAUACUCACAAAACUGAUACUACCAGCUAAGUCCUCGAUGCUCGACUCUUGAUGGCAUAACUAGACCCCGUCGGGCGAAAUAGUACUAUACUAGUCUUGGUGGGACGUCACGAGUAUAAGUCCUAGCAUACAUGUACUAGCAUCACGUAUAUCUAUGCAUACAGUUAUUCGCAAGUGAUAAAUAGUCCAAUUAAAUCAUUCGUUUGAUAAGUUUGGUUUUUAUGGAACGUAUGUUACACCCAAAAUUCGAUAAAAGGGGUCAAGUAUACUCACAGCGCGUUUUCGGUUAGGUUUGCGGAACCGGUGCCGGAGAAUAUCCUGAUUUCAGAUAAUUUACGUGAGUGAUAGGUUACUAUGCGUUUGCGGAACCGGUGCCGGAGAAUAUCCUGAUUUCAGAUAAUUUACGUGAGUGAUAGGUUACUAUGCGUUAA